rnacentral:rRNA from 1 species
AGAGUUUGAUCCUGGCUCAGGAUGAACGCUAGCGGCAGGCUUAACACAUGCAAGUCGAGGGGCAGCAUGAGGGUUAGCAAUAACUCUUGAUGGCGACCGGCGCAAGGGUGCGUAACGCGUGAGCAACUUGCCCGUUUCUGGGGAAUAACCGGUGGAAACGCCGACUAAUACCCCAUAGCAUUGAUUUCAGGCAUCUGUUAUCAAUUAAAGAAUUUCGGAAACGGAUAGGCUCGCGUGACAUUAGCUAGAUGGCGGGGUAACGGCCCACCAUGGCGACGAUGUCUAGGGGUUCUGAGAGGAAGGUCCCCCACACUGGAACUGAGACACGGUCCAGACUCCUACGGGAGGCAGCAGUGAGGAAUAUUGGUCAAUGGUCUGACGACUGAACCAGCCAUGCCGCGUGAAGGUGACGGCCCUAUGGGUCUUAAACUUCUUUUGCAAGGGAGCAAUAAGGCGUACGUGUACGUCGAUGAGAGUACCUUGCGAAUAAGCAUCGGCUAACUCCGUGCCAGCAGCCGCGGU